rnacentral:rRNA from 1 species
CGUGAGCAACAUGCCCGUAUCAGGGGGAUAAUCCAUGGAAACGUGGUCUAAUACCCCAUAGUAAUUAUGUAAGGCAUCUUAUAUAAUUUAAAGCUUUGGUGGAUACGGAUUGGCUCGCGUGACAUUAGCUAGAUGGUAAGGUAACGGCUUACCAUGGCUACGAUGUCUAGGGGUUCUGAGAGGAAGGUCCCCCCACACUGGAACUGAGACACGGUCCAGACUCCUACGGGAGGCAGCAGUGAGGAAUAUUGGACAAUGGAUGGAAAUCUGAUCCAGCCAUGCCGCGUGCAAGGAAGACGGCCCUAUGGGUUGUAAACUGCUUUUGUAUGGGAGCAAUAAGGGCUACGUGUAGUCCGAUGAGAGUACCAUACGAAUAAGCACCGGCUAACUCCGUGCCAGCCGCCGC